UACAGAGGGGGCCAGCGUUAUUCGGAAUUAUUGGGCGUAAAGAGCUCGUAGGCGGCCUGUCGCGUCGGAUGUGAAAGCCCGGGGCUUAACCCCGGGUCUGCAUUCGAUACGGGCAGGCUGGAGUGUGGUAGGGGAGAUCGGAAUUCCUGGUGUAGCGGUGAAAUGCGCAGAUAUCAGGAGGAACACCGGUGGCGAAGGCGGAUCUCUGGGCCAUUACUGACGCUGAGGAGCGAAAGCGUGGGGAGCGAACAGG
rnacentral:rRNA from 1 species